CCUGGUUGAUCCUGCCAGUAGCAUAUGAGUGUCUCAAAGAUUAAGCCAUGCACGUGUCAGUACAAACGACUGGUACAGUGAAACUGCAAAUGGCUCAUUAAAUCAGUUAUGGUUCCUUUGAUCGCUCCAUCUGUUACUUGGAUAACUGUGGUAAUUCUAGAGCUAAUACAUGCUGAUGAGCGUGGACCUCCCGGGAUGCGUGCAUUUAUCAGACCAAGACCAAUCCGGGCUCGCCCGGCUGCUUUAGUGACUCUAGAUAACCUCAGGCCGAUCGCGUAUCCAUGAGACUGCGACGAUGCAUUCAGAUGUCUGCCCUAUCAACUUUCAAUGGUACUUUCUGUGCCUACCAUGGUGACCACGGUUAAUGGGGAAUCGGGGUUUGAUUCGGGAGAGGGAGCCUGAGAAACGGCUACCACAUCAAGGAAUGCAGCAGGCGCCCAAAUUACCCAAUCCGACUCUGGGAGGUAGUGACCAAAAAUAACAAUACAGGACUCUUUCGAGGCACUGCAAUUGGAAUGAGUACACUUUAAAUCCUUUAACGAGUACCCAUUGGAGGACAAGUCUGGUGCGAGCAGUCGAGGUAAUUCCAUCUCCAAUAGCAUAUAUUAAAGUUGCUGCAGUUGAAAGAUCAUAGUUGGAUCUUGGGAUCGAGCUGGCGGUCCGCCGCGAGGUGAGCUACCACUGCCUGUCCCAUCCCCUGCCUCUUGGCGCCCCCUUGAUGCUCUUGACUGAGUGUCCUGGGGUCUGAAGCGUUUACUUUGAAAACAGUACAGUGUUCAAAGCAGGCCGGUCCACUGAAUACUUAAGCUAGGAAUAAUGGAAUAGGACACUGGUUCUAUUUUGUUGUUUUUCGGAACUGGGGUCCUGAUUAAGAGGGACACCCAGGGGCAUUCGUAUUGUGUUGCUAGAGGUGAGAUUCUUGGACCAGCGCUAGACGAACCAAAGUGAAAGCAUCAGCCAAUAAUGUUUUCAUUAAUCUAGUGUCGUAGUUUCAAACAUAAACUAUGCUGAUUAGCGAUCUGGCUGUGUUAUUCCAAUGACCCGCCGAGCAGCUUCUGGCAAACCAAAGGCUUUGGGUUCUGGGGUGGCGGGGCAGAGUAUGGUUGCAAAGAUGAAACUUAAAGGAAUUGAUGGAAGGGCACCACCAGGAGUGGAGCCUGCGUCUUGAAACCCCACCUAGCCCAGACACGGAAAAAUUGACAGAUUGAUAGCUCUUUCUCGAUUCUGUUGGUGGUGGUGCAUGGCCGUUCUUAGUUCGUGGGAGCGAUUAGUCUGGUUAAAUCCGAUAACGAACAAGACUCCUCCAUGCUAACUAAUUAUUUGCCAUGAACGAGGAAUUCCCAUUGAGUGUGGGUCAUAAGCUUGCGUUGAUUGUCCCGGUCCUUUGUACACACCGCCCGUCGCUACUACAGAUUGGAUGGUUUAGUGAUGUCCUCGGAUCGAUGAGUAGAUCAAACUUGACUAUCUAGAGGAAGUCGUACGGUUUGGGUUAACCUGCUUGGGACGUUC
rnacentral:rRNA from 1 species